UGACGCCUCUGAUUUGACCAUACACUAAUCAUACACGCAAAUGUGUACGACCAGGAUCAUGGACUCACGAAAAGAUAUCACAACACAACUCUAGACACAAAUGGAAAUAAUACAAGCUUUAUAUUACAAGCCAGGGGCCUCGAGGGCUCGAAUACAUAACCUCGAAAACACAAGAGUCAGCAGAAGCAAUAAUAUCUGAGUACAGAUAUAAGUUAAACAAGUUUUGCCUUAAGAAGGCUAGCACAAAAGUAGAAACGAUCGAAAAGGCAAGGCCUCCUGCCUGGGACCUCCUAACUACUCCUCGAAGCCGAACUCCACGUAGAAACAUCCUCGGGAUCCUCUGGCUCCUGGACUUCAUCAUUUGGUUGCGGCAUCCGAAAAGAAAGGAAAAGGGGGGAAAGAGGAAGCAAAGCAACCGUGAGUACUCAUCCAAAGUACUCGCAAGCAAGGAUCUACACUACAUAUGCAUUGGUAUCAAAUGGAAAAGGGUAGUAUAUGUGGACUGAACUGCAGAAUGCCAGAAUAAGAGGGGGAUAGCUAGUCCUAUCGAAGACUACGCUUCUGGCAGCCUCCAUCUUGAAGCAUGUAGAAGAGAGUAGAUGGUAAGUUCACCAAGUAGCAUCGUAUAGCAUAAUCCUACCCGGCAAUCCUCCCCUCGUCGCCUUGUGUGAGAGAGAGAUCACUGGGUUGUAUCUGGCACUUGAAAGGGUGUGUUUUAUUAAGUAUCCGGUUCUAGUUGUCAUAAGGUCAAGGUACAACUUCGGGUCGUCCUUUUACCGAGGGACACGACUAUUCGAAUAGAUAAACUUCCCUGCAGGGGUGCACCACAUAACCCAACACGCUCGAUCCCCUUUGGCCGGACACACUUUCCUGGGUCAUGCCCGGCCUCGGAAGAUCAACACAUCGCAUCCCCACCUAGGCACAACAGAGAGGUCAGCACACCUGUCUAAACCUAUGACGCAGGGGUCUGGGCCCAUCGCCCAUUGCACACCUGCAUGUUACGAACGUGACCGGAAGCAAACCUAGCCUCCCUAAUACAAGAGCAAGCGUUCCAGUCCAAUCCGGCACGCGCCGGUCAGUCGCUAACGUCAAGAAGGCUUCGGCUGAUACCACGACGUUGAGUGCCCAUAACUGUUCCCGCGUAGUUGGUUAGUGCAUAUAUGUCAGUGGCCAGACUCAGAUCAAAUACCCAGAUCUCGUUAAGCGUGAUAAUUGAAUUAACCGCGGACGCCGACCAGGGCUAGGCACACCUCUCUCCUGGGUGGUCUCAACCUGCCAUGUUGCUCCGCCACAAAGGUUCACUCAGAGGGCCGUCAGGACAAACGUCCUUUCGGACCCAAUCCGUGAAUCACUCACGGAUACUCUAUGAGCCGACCCGACUUUAGUCACCACAAAUAUCUUAUAUUAUGUAUAUAAGCAUAUACCCGUGAUCACCUCCCGAGUGAUCACGGCCUGAUAAUAUAGCAUGGCAGACGGACAAGAAUGUAGGGUCACUGAUGGAAUACUAGCAUCCUAUACAAAGCAUUUAGGAUUGCAAGUAAAGGUAAUAAUAGUGAUAGCAAGGACAAGCUAUGCAUCAGAAUAGGAUUAACGGAAAGCAGGAACAUGCUACGCUACUCUAAUGCAAGCAGUAGAGAGAAGAAUAGGCGAUAUCUGGUGAUAAGGGAGGGGGGCUUGCCUGUAAGCUUAGUCGAGGAGGGGUCGUCAACACCUUAGUCGAACUGGGGUCGCCGGUAGUCUCGAGGUCUACCGGAAAGAAGUAACGGAGAGGGAACACAAUAAAUAACAGAGCAAGCAAAGCAUCACAAAGCGUAACAUGGCAAAAUGCGGUGCUAGAUGUGACAUAACGCAGAGAUAGGUGAUACCGGCAAAGGGCGAAAAACAUCCGCGUAAGUAUUCCCGGUGUUUGACAUUUUCGGGCAGAUGAAACGGAAGGGGAUUGUUGCAUGUUUGCUAUGCUAGAGAUGUGUGGCAGACGAACGGACCGCGUAUUCGGAUUCGCCUCGUCGUUCUAAGUGACUUUCAUGUACAAAGUAUUUUCAUCCGAAUUAUAGAUUAUUCUAUAUUAAUUUUCAAAGUUUUAAAUGAUUUUCUAAUUUAUUGGAUCUAAUUUAAAUCAAAAAAUAAUAUAUACUAACUGUUGUGGGUACACAGAGAAGUGUACCCAGGGGGUGUAAUGUGUGGCUGACAGUGGGCCAGGAUCAAAGUCAACAGUACCAAGUCAACAGUUGACUUAGUCAGCAUUGACUGGUCCACAUGGUCAAAUGGCCCCGCAUGUCAUGGAUUAAUUACCUGGACAAAUUUAUUAAUCUAGUCAUUAUAGUAGCGGGGCCCAAUGUCAUUGAUACAGUAGGCUAACUACACUAAAAUUAUGCCCUGACUAAUUAAAUCUUAAGGCAAUUAAGCAGGCCAGCCGCACAUGCCAAGGCAUAGCCGUGCCUCACACACGUGUACGCACAUGGUGGCCAUGGCCAUGGCACAAGAGGUGGUACCGGAGUGGCUAAGAGAUGCGUGAGUCGGUGAGUGGCCAGGGGCUCACACGGAGCAGCAAGCAAAAAGCAUCAGCAGUCAAUUGAGCAGCGGCGGCGGCGGCAACAGAGCAAGCACAAAGCAGCCGGCGACGAGCAGUAGCAUUAGAGAGCAGCAACAACAACAUGUAGCAGCAGUGGGAGGCUUCAGCAGAGAGCAGCAACGCUACCAGCGGCUGCAAGCAGGGCAGAGCGGACGGGCACGGCCAGCAUGCUGGUCGGGCGGUAGGGGGCGCGCACGUGCGUGACACGGCCAGGGCGUUGGGUUGGGCGCCCACGCGAGCAGAGCUCCGGCCGCAGCCACGGCGGAGUGUCGGACGCGGUGGAACCAGCGGCUAGAGGACGGGAACGAGAAGGGGGGCAAGGGGAAAAUGACGGCAAGCUCACAGCGUUGACGAGCAGCUCGGUGAAGCCGAAGAAGGUCGAGGGCGAGUGAAUCGAGCGGAUCUUCGUGGCCGCCGUGGCAGAGGAAGAAGACACGACGUCUAUGGGGCAGCUUCCCGGGCUCGAUCUGGUGGCUCCGGCGAUGAAUGCGAAGGCGGAGUGCUCCUGGACACGCUAACCCAGCGCGGCGACGACGGGGAGCACGGGAACGGCGGGGGUCAUGGCGACGGCGGCUGCGGUUGCGGGCGGGAUCGACGAGGGAGAGAGCGAGGGGGGAUGCGUAUCUAGGAUUUGUCCGUGAGGCGAGGGGUGGCCUUAUCCACCGCCGGGGCACGCGGGAUGGCCG
rnacentral:lncRNA from 1 species